rnacentral:misc_RNA from 1 species
UGUGCUGAUGAGAGAGUUGUAGAACCUCCUGGACCUUUCAGGAGAUGUAAAUCAGGAAUUGUUGAUCAUGAUGCAGUUUUAAAAGCAAUGUCUCGAGCACUUGAAUGCACCGAAGAGGCAUACAUGGAGAUGGUGGAAAAGAACCUUGAUAAAAAUGCAGAGCUCGCUUUGAUGGGUUCUUGUGUUCUUGUAAUGUUAAUGAAGGAUCAAGAUGUGUAUGU